CGUUUAUUUUUGGUAAUAGAAGAAUAGUAAGCUGCCUAAUGUAUGUGAAUGUAUGCAGCCAUAUUGUCUAUUGAAAAAUAACAAAACUAUUCUCUAGAAGGGAAGUGUGUGAGUAUUUAAUUUCUCUUCUGUUUGACAAACUGUGAGGCUGUUGGGGUAAAUUAAGAUUCACCCAUGGUGUAAAACUGGGGCAGGGAAGGAGAGUUCAGGCCAAACAUGCUGGCAUAGUUUAACAUAGUGUCAAUCUAGAAGGGAGGCUGUUGAUCCUCUGAUCAUUGCUAGAAUAUAGUGUAAUGGUUCCUUUGACACCUUUGUCUUUUAUUUCAUCAGUAUGUAGUACAUGACAUUUUGUACUCGUGAAAGGUGCUGAACUGACAGGCCUUGAGACUGAAGUCUUCUCUUUGUACACAUAUCAGACGAUACAUAGACAAACACAGCAUCCCCUCUCUGCCUCUUUCUCUGUCUUUCCCACACUUCAACCGCUUUCUCGCUGCAGCUCUCUCGUAUGACCACCAUUUGAAGUGAAAAGAUCCUCCGAUCUCUGCAGUUACUGCUUGCUGCUAAUAUUACCAGCAAGGCUGAUUGCCCUGAGUGAGUUUUGUGGGUUUUUUUGUGAUGCAGAAAUGUAUUUCCAUGAAUUUAGGUAAUUCCAGCUCAUUUCAUGUGGGUCACAGACUGUCCAUUAGUCUAUAAUAUCUUUAGGUUACCAGUGACCCGCACUAGACUUGAUCUGGUAACCUAUAGCUCAGGUAAAAUGCUCCAUAUCCUAUUUUCACUCCUGCUCAUAUAUGAAUUGUUCAGUAUAAGGUUAAUCAUGCAUACAAGAAUUUUUUUUUCUCUGAAGUACACAGUAGAUCUGUGGUUUUGUCCUUUCAAUCUGUUUGGAGCAGACAAAGGGGAUUAUUAAUGGGCAAAGUAGAAAUUACAAUUAAGAAAUUGCUGUCUUUAUUCACACAGCACAGAAUUCCCUUUGGGAAUACUGGAUCCACCAUGCAGAUCAGAGUGAAAAAUGUUGCCUGCAGUAUGGACUUCCAAUGGUUUUACCAUUCUUGCACUUAGGGGGAAAAAGAGUGUAGGGGAAGGAGUUAGAGUUAUUGUCUCCACUCAGUUCUUAAUAAUGUGACCUUAUAGUGAAAUGAAAUAUGAAACUAUCCACAUUCAUAACCAACAGCUUGCAAAACUUAACUUCAAAGUGUAGAGGUAGUUUCUGAAGUUGGCAUCUUCCCAAUGUAUUUUCCAAAGAGAUAUUUUAUGUUUGUCUAUUGUCUACUUAAAAAUAAAAUAGUGCAAGUUUGAGAAAAAAAAAAGUUGUUGUUCUCAAAUGAAAACCCACAGAUAAUAAACCUAUAAUUUUCAUGCAAUUUGCAGCAGAAUAUCUUGGGGUGGGAUGCUGGUGGUGCAGGCACAAAGUUCAAAAUUCAUGGAAAGCAAAUCUCUAAUGAAAUUUUGGGCGACGUUUCUAUGUUGCAAAUUACUUAGGUUUUUUUCAAAGACUAUUUCAAGGAGAUAAACCUUGUAUAACUUGUUAAUGGUAGUAUUACAAAUUGAACAAAACCAAUAAUAUAAAAGGAAAAAGAGUAUAUAUAUUUGUAAGAAAGACUGAAAAAGAGCAGGGAUUUUUAAUAAUUUUUACCUCUAAAAUGACAUGAGUUUAAUAUUUUUGGUAGUAGCAUCACAUUCCUAUUCCACUGACUCAUAGAAGGAAUCAUAUGAGCAUAUGCUUAAAUUAUUUUUGUCAGGACUGCAGUUGCAUUAAGAAUCUGUUUAGUGAUUAAGGGUAAAAAACUGCCCUCUAUCAUUUUUCACACUUGCAUUUACUCAUACUUUCAGACUUGUCUCGGCUAGAUCAAGUAAAUUUUCCCUGAAAGAUUGAGAACAUAUACAGCCUCACUCAGUCACAGUCCAGAAGGAAUUCAGUUAUUUCAAGAAGUCUCAUUACACCAGAUCCUUCUAUUGCCUCCUGUUAUUUAUCUUUCAGUACUAUCACCUUUUACUACCCUUUCUUCUUCCUUAAUUCAAAUUAAUAAAGUCCUGCAGUGAAUGAUUCUUCAGUUCCUUUGAAAUUUCUUUUGAAAGAGUGAGAAGUCCUCAAAAAUCACAAUACUCAUAAAAUGGUUGAGGGAGAAAAAAUCCUUUAUUCUUUCCUCUAGACUUCAGUGACACUAUGAAGUUUCACAUAAUUUGCAGACUGCAUCUCAUAAAAUACUGGCAAAAUUUAUUCAAUUCAAAUUAAAUAGAUGUAGCACAGAGUAAUCUUUCUCUAUUAAAUAUGUCACUUUUUGCAAUUGUUUCUUAAUAUCCCGCACAGCUUCCAUCUAAGAUUAGCACUUUCUUUGCUGCCACAGUUUCACUAACCUACUGAAUUAUUCACUGAAGCAUAACCUUCAGAUAUCAGGUUAGAAAGACCUUGAUUAUGGCAGGAAGUGAACUGUAUAAACCAUUUUUCUUUAAAAGAAAAUUUCUCAGUAUAGAAAAGUCUGAAAUGAGAUAAGUAUUAAAUGUGUGUAAAAAUUAAGUUCAUAACUGAUAGGAAUUUAGUCAGCUGUGACAUUCCUGUAUUUUGUUUAUAAUAAUGUACAAUAACAUUCUAGAUACCACUUAAUAGUGUAAAGCCACGUGCAUUUUCAUGGUGCUUAUUUAACAGGGUAUCCAUGUUGGUCUCAGCUGUAAAGUAGAGAUGUGGAAUGUCUCACACAGAUUUAACAUACUGGACAAAGGAUAUUUACAUCCAAUUCCUGAUUUUGUCCCACUUCCUGAAAAUUACUUCUAAGGGUCUCUCAGCUCCAGAAACCAGAAAAUGGUGACAGAGUGAAAAGCUUCACUACAGCAAACCACUGUUAUUGACCAUUAAUUUGUGCCAAUCCACUGUUGAAAGGUCAUUUGAACACAUACCAAGGAGACAACAGCUUCGGGAAAGCUUCCUUUGCAAGGGUUGAUAUACAGACUCACCACUCACUUGUCUGCUUCUCGUGACCUGCCCAAUGGCACCCAGGAGCUGAAACGUAAUUGUGAAGUUUAACAGGCUUUUAGAGGUACUAUGAUAGCAAAAUGUCAGGGCAAACAACAUUCUACAAAUUAUUCUGCUAGUCAAGCGUACAAAUUUUCAUAAUGACUUGACCUAGAAUAGGAACAAAAUGUGUUUUCCUAACGUGGGUGAUAACUGCAUAAUUAUGCAACUGAUUCUGCUAAUAUUAUUAGCCUUAUGUUACUUUCCCAGAUGUCAGAGAAAUGGCACAGAAGGAGAAAACAGGUGGCAAGUUUGUUGGAUGUUGCAUAUUAGUGCAGUUCGUAACAGAAUUUCCUAUGCAGAUUUGUUGACCGCAGUUUGAAGGACUGUAAGACAAACAUGCUGCACAAGGAUUUAAUGUUUUGGGUGCAGCAGGGGCUUCAACAAAUUUUGUGCUGCGCCGUGAAAUGUUCAGUUCCUAAGAUGAGUUUAAACCUCUUGUUUCCUGAUCUCUGUCUCUGUUUCUGUUAAUCAUAUUUUUGGUUUGCAGGGCUUUUCGAACAUGUGAGGAUGUUACAUUUGAGUAGCUAAAUUUGUAUGUGAAUUCGACAGUGAGGUAUCAUUUUAAACCAAAUACAAGUAAUGCAAAGGAUACUAUUGAUUUAACAAACUUCUAAGAAAAAGAUAUAUCUGUUGCUCUUCAAGAGCCCUUACAAAAUAAGAAGUAUUCAGAAGCAGUGGGGGGAAGUAAUAAAAAUUGGGUUGAUACUGUGGAUAUAGAGAAUAUUUUAUUCUUUAUGUUUUAAUAUAUAUGAUGCAUAUAUACAUCAUAAGAACACAUACAGUCAUGUAUCCUUGUAUGCUUUUAUUUAAUAAUUCAAAUUUGUAUUUAUUCUGUGUUUAUUAAAGAAUUAUGCCUUUGACAAAAAGAUCUGCAGCUGUGACAUUUGAAUUGCAGACCAAACAACCAUGCAAAAGAAUUAAGUUUCCUAUAUAGGAAAGAGGCUAAAAUGUGUAUUUAGGGAAAUUGAUCAUUUUAGACUUAGAAAUAUAUGCUGGAAUUCACCGUGGGCAUGACUUAGACUAUAUUGUUCAUUUUAGCUAACUGCAUCCACUGAAACUGCCUGGGAAUUGCGUUGAGAGGUCUUGCAAUUCGCUGGAGACUGCCUAGUGCUGAAACCUCUGGAUACCCUCUCCCAAACCACUGUCUGAGGGAACUGGGGCUCCGUGCUGCAGACUUGGCCUCACUCUGAUCCUAGCUGGAGGAGAGCUGGACGGGCUCAUUAACUGCAUGUGCCUGCAAAGCAGAACAUCCUCAUGCCCAGGGUCCUGCAAAUGACUGAGCCAUUGAGGAGGAAACAUGCUUCACACAGAUAUGCCAAGCUAUUGAUGCCUGCCAAACUGGAUACUGCACAAUACAUAUUGCAAGUAUAUUCAGAUAACACCUAUAACUCCACAAAAGCACUGGUGCUUUAUUCUACUGCAGAGACAGAAAAUUACAGACAUCCCACGCUCUUCGUAAUCUGGAAGAUUCAGGCUUCACUGAACCUGGAGCAAAGACUGUGAAGAGGAGAAAGACGCAGUAACGGUAACUACAGGAUGGUAAAAGAACAAAGGAUGACUGUAUGACGGAAGGUGUAGCCUAAAGUGCUCAAGUCCUUCGUUUACUUGAUUUAAAGUGAAGAUUUGAACAUCAGUCUUCAACAUCCAGAGAGAAGACCUAAAAUUUAGACUGAAAUAAUGCCUAAUAAUUUUCUUUUCUGCAAUACAAGAGAUGGAUGGAGACAUAAACAAGAAGAACUAGUAGCCAAGUAGGAACAGUGGAACAGUUACUGGAAUGUUGCACAGAAACCAUAAUGUAGAGUGGUCUGCCACAGCCCUGGGAAGUGCCCUCAUUAAAAGCUUUUUUAUGUUAUGCUGCAGAACUUGCUUUUCAUAUGAAACACUUGGAGAAUCUGGCUUAUGACCCAAGACAAAAUGAGAGAAAAAUAUUAAAUAUCUCAAAAAGUUGCAGUGGAGGAGAAUCAGGUCCUGUACACCUUGGCACACGUGAAUUUAUGCUCAAGAAUGCAUAUGUGCACACUGGAAAACACUGUUUUUUAAAAAAAAAAAUUGAUUUUUGCCUUGAAGCCUGUCUAGAAGAACAGAAACAGAACUGUCCAAAGACCACUCGAAAUUGUAUCAACAAGCGACAAAGUCUUUGGCAAUAAAAUGCUGAUUUUAUGGAAGGUAAUUGCAGACACAAAUGUCUCAAUUUCUUAGUGUGUUGUAUAUGAAAAGAACAAAGUUCAUUUGCAUAGUCAAGAUAAGUUUAUGUACCAAUGCUGGAAAUGUGAAUGAGUUGCAAAAUAUAUCUACUGGUGUUGUGAUAUUAACAUGAAGUUUUCAAGGGCUGAUUUUCAGUACACAUACAGUGAAAAUAAACUUAUAUUUGAGGGUUAAGGAAGUCAAUAAAGUUUAAGCUAAUAAGACUUGUUGAUAAGAGGACUAUGCUAAGUGAAAUUGCAGGAAACAUUGGAUAUGCUUUUAAUCAACUGUGCUUUUUUGGACUUAGAUCUCAAUGAAAUGUCUCUGAAUUUCACAGAAAUUGUGUAAAAAUAGUAGAAGCAAAUGAAAUUCCUAGAAUUGUAAAAUAGAGAAAUAAAGAAUUUAAACCACCUGAAACAGGUUGCUGUACUGACAAAAUCACCAUUCUUGGAUGAUGUCACCAAAGUAGAUGAACACAGAACUAUAAUAAACUCCAUAUCAAUUUUGCACUAGAAAUUGUGACUUUUUUUUUUGGUAGAAAUUGAAAUAGACUGUAAUUAUAAAUUGUGAUAAGGAAAAUAGGAAAAAAAAAUCAUAAUUUAUUUUCUUCUGAAUACAAUGUACACCUUUUGCAUAUAAUAAAUACAGUAGGUACUGCCUGUUGGAGUUUGCACAGUAUUUUUUAUUGUUUAAGUUCUGAUUUCCUUGGUUUGUUUUUUUCACCUAAGUAAGCAACUGAUAGGAAACAAGUGUUCCUUUAGGAAGAAUUGACUUUUUCAUUGAGAAAUCAUUGAGUGCUAAAUACACUUUGAUGACCUGAAAAAUGUUUCUAAGAAUAACAGGAGGGAGAAAUCUUUUGAAGUUUAAAGACAAUAUCUUUUUUUCUUUCACUGUAUUUAAAAAAGGUGGGGGGAGAAAGAUGACUGAG